rnacentral:tRNA from 1 species
GGGGCCGUAGCUCAGCUGGGAGAGCGUUCGGAUGGCAUCCGAAAGGUCAGGGGUUCGAUCCCCCUCGGCUCCA